rnacentral:rRNA from 1 species
AUGCAUGCUGUGAAAUUUGGCUACAGAUCGAACAUAGGGGAUGGGAGCAGAACCAGGUUCUGGGAAGAUACUUGGUUUGACACAUCCCCCCUAGCAGUCCAAUUUUGGCCUAUUUACUCUGUCCGCAAUGAGCUUAACAAAAGUGUCAAUGAAGUUUGGGACGGUCAAUGCGUAAAACUG